UCCCUGGUGGCUUGGAUGGUAAAGAAUCUGCCUGCAAUGCAGGAGACCCAGGUUCAAUCUCUGGGUCAGGAAA
rfam:TPA: Bos taurus chromosome 3, whole genome shotgun sequence.